rnacentral:misc_RNA from 1 species
UAACCCAUCACGCCUGGCGUGGUCUUGGGGUUCGCGUCCGGCGGCCCUUGAAAUCAGUGGCGGCGUCCGUUGGGCUCUAAGCGUAGUAAUCUACCCUCGCUUCUGGGCUCCUCGGGUGCUUGCCGUAACCCCAACUUUCUCA